CACCGCGGUUAUACGAGAGACCCCAAGUUGACAAAUUCCGGCGUAAAGCGUGGUUAGGAAGCACUUAAACUAAAGUCGAACACCUUCAAAGCUGUUAUACGCAUCCGAAGGCCUGAAGAACAUACACGAAAGUAACUUUACAAACUCUGAAGCCACGAAAGCUAAGAUACAAACUGGGAUUAGAUACCCCACUAUGCUUAGCCCUAAACAUAGAUAGCACUUACACCUCCGCUAUCCGCCUGGGAACUACGAGCACCAGCUUAAAACCCAAAGGACUUGGCGGUGCUUUAGAUCCACCUAGAGGAGCCUGUUCUAGAACCGAUACCCCCCGUUCAACCUCACCCCUCCUUGUUUUACCCGCCUAUAUACCGCCGUCGUCAGCUUACCCUGUGAAGGACUCAUAGUAAGCAAAAUUGGUACAACCCUAAACGUCAGGUCGAGGUGUAGCGUAUGGAGGGGGAAGAAAUGGGCUACAUUUUCUACCCCAGAAAACUACGAAAGAUGUACUGAAAAGUACACCUGAAGGAGGAUUUAACAGUAAGCAAAAAAUAGAGCGUUUUGCUGAAAUUGGCCCUGAAGCGCGCACACACCGCCCGUCACUCUCCCCAAGCCUAUAACUAACUAAUAACUUUAAACCACAACACACGCAAAGGGGAGGCAAGUCGUAA
rnacentral:rRNA from 1 species